CAACUCAUUGUCACCUUCAAGUUUAGCCAAGUCCUCUUCCUUCAUGUUAAUGUAUGCUUCUAUUCCACCACCAGACUUGGCGUCCAUGAAAACAACCAAGUUAUUUCAAGGGGAGAUACCACAAAAUACCAUCAAGGCACUUCUCCAAACACCAUCCUUGUCUGGACAUUUGGGAAUACUAUCUAUAAAUACAUACUUAUUGGCCUUACGAUUUUUUCUCACUUUUUCUUCUCUCUCAGUAUCACACUCUCUCUCUCUCUCUCUCUCUCUCUAUACCAAAAUCUGGGCAGAUUUGUCCCUUCAGUCAUGAAUGGAAGCUAUCAGAAAGCAAGCGACCAGGCUUCGCGAACGGGUCGCUAGGCAACAACAGGUGCUUUCAUACCAAUCCUAAUUCCACCAGAUCCAAUUUCAUUUAAUCGCUUUCAGUAUCCGCACUCUAUUCUGAUUCCGUAUUUGAUAUUUCUUAUUUUGACCAAUUUCCCCUUGAUUUAGCUCAACUUUCUUUUCCCUUGUCCUGUUUAUUUUCUUGGUGAAAUUUGCAAUCUUGUUCUGCCUAUAAUGCUUUAUUUUCGUUGGGUUUGUGAUUUUCAAUUUGUUUCACACUGUAUGAUCCAACUCAAUGCAUUUGCUUUCCAAAGUCAUAAACUUUUUUAUGAAUUUUGUUGAUAUUUGAUGUGCAACGCAAGAGAGGCGAUAUUAAUUGCAUUCUUGCGCGUUAAUUGGUAAAUUGCUCGGAGAACAUUCUUGGAAUCUGUUUAUGGAAGAUUGCAAAAAGAAUACAUGUGUAGAAUAAAGAAAUAUAUUUGUUGGUCCAUAAUGCCUUAAAAAAUUAGAGCCUACAGUGUGUGUUAUGGAUACAGGUCAGGCUUGUUCAUCCCAUGAAAAGUAAAUGUUGCUAUUAAGUUUUACAUAGAUAUGCUCCCUUAAAAGAAAUGGACAAUCAGUUAAAUUAAGGUAUGGUUUCACUCAAAAAAUUCAAUAGAAAUUAGCCAUUUGAGAAGUUUUGCCAACAAAUGUGUUAAGAGAUUUCAGUUUCUGCUGUAACUUUGUUCUCCAUGUCACAUUUUCUGUUCCUGUAGUCAUAUUCAUAUACAUGCCUUGAAAAGUAUAUGGUACAUCUUCAACUACAUCCCAUCAAGUUGAAGCUCCUAUUUAAAGAAUUUGAUGUUGUGGAUAUUUGGUUUACUCACCUGUUUUGGUUCAUAUUCUUUUGAAAUUGAAUUUUUAAAGAUCCUUAAAGGUUUGUUCCAUAAGCAAUGCUCAUUUGACAUGUCUACAAGAAGUUAGCAGUUGGUACCUUUAUGUUACAGAGUAAAACGAAAAUGCAGUUAGUUUGAUCAUCUCUGCCCAAUUUCUUAAAAGUGCUACGAGUUUCUUAUUUUUCUUAUAGAAAAUAAAAUGGCACUGGUUUCUUUUGCCAUGUCAUUCUGACAAUACUAAUUAUGUUGAAGCAGGGAGGUAUUGGUAGAGGUUAUAUGGUUUCAUAUUCUGUUGUAGUUUGGUGAACUUCUAUCCUUUUGGGCAUUCACUUGUUUGACAAUUUCUGCAGGUGCUGGUUGUUUUGUGUGACCUCCUUUGAUAACUCUUUCUAUUCCAAGAACAUUGCUUUGUCAAAAACAUUUUGCAAUGCGAUACAAGCAAAGUAAUUUAACAGCAGAGCUGGAGCUGCCAUGGCAGCCCUGUAAUAAUUUCCGAAAGUAUGAUGAGGCAGAGGUGGCUUGAACCUUGAACGAAGAUCCAUGAUAUAAACAACUGCGUACAACGUUUGAGGUCUUUCCCUAGGCCUUGACAAAACAAAGAUGUCCCAUAAAAAAGCGGACAAGGCCUCAACUUUUGAUGGCCGUUUUUGGGUUUUUGAGAUCUUGAUGCUCUGUUCAUAUUUUGAUCUCAAAGCCUCAACCUUUGACACAUCAAACACAAACUUCUUGGUUUUGAUCUCAUGCCUGUUGGUGAUAGGAACCCCUAAAUACCCAUCCAUAUUUCUUGGUGGGAAAAUUGAAGCUGCAGAAAAAUCUGGACCCACUAUAGAAUUUUUGUUCCCCUGUCCACAAUUAGAAGCAGCUGCCCAAUUGUUCACAAAUGUAAAACAUGAGCGGGCGUCUGCAAUUCUGUGUGAGAUGCAUAACCCAACAGCAAUUCCUCCACAUUCAAACACAUUGAGCUGGACACCAAGGGCUGUUUCUGUGACUUCAUCCAGCUUGAA